ensembl:snoRNA small nucleolar RNA Z39
GCAUGUGUGAUGUGAACAAAACAGUAUGAGAAACUGUGAUACUGUAAACGCUUUCUGAUGUG